ACACCAUCCAGGCUGCACUGUUUGCAAGGGCUCCCAUUGUCUCUGGCUGAAUGAAGCUGCCUGCAAGGCACCUGAGAGCCAGAAAACUCCCUGCGUGGACCAUCCCUUUGGUGUGUUGGCAUCUUGAAGGGAACUUGGCUGUGGCUACACACAGCAGGCGCCUGUGGUUGUGUGCUGAAAAGCAUCUCCAUCCUUGCACAGCCUCUUGGCAGGAACUUCAAUGCAGGCGGCACAUGGGUGCAGCACAAAGAGGAUGUUGGCCACAGGACUAAAGACUCAAAGCUGGGCUGUGCGAUGAGAGGCAGGUGGGCAGAGUGGUGUGUAAGGCAGGGGCGGGGGAAAGCUGGUUCUUUCUGGGAACUUAGAUAAGGCCCAAGCCACCAGGCAUGGAGGGAAAGGCACAAGCAUGUUCUGCCGUUUUGAAGAUUUUGUGGGAAAAGGCAGGGGCAUGAAGAGGCUCACUAGCCUGGAAAGCACCAGUGUAGCUUAUUAUGAGACAGGGGGCCACUGGGCAGUGAGCCGCAGAAACUGCUCAUGAUGCAAGGGCUCAGCCAUGGGAAAUGAGAAGCAACAGAAGCAAGUGUCUUCAUUGCUGGAAACAAUGACCCCUAUAAGCAGAGGUGAACAUCCAUUUGCACUGAGCUGAAAAGGCAGUGUGUGUUCAGCAAAUGGCAGAUGCUGGACAGCUCCAUUCAACCCACCUUGAUAAGAUGCCCCUUUGCUUCUGCAUGGCUUGGGCUCACUCAUGGCCUUGGCUUUCUGCUCCUUGUUCACUGAGCCAAGGAGAGAAUCUAUUAUGAUUAUUAGCCGCGCGGAUGUUACUAGCCCAGAGAUGGAAAGAAGACAAAGUCCCUACCAGAGAAGAAUGGCAACUAAGCUGUUGGAUUAUGCCAAAAUGGCAAAACUGACCAGAGAGCGCAGGAAAAAAGAAGACCAAAAACCAAAUAAAGAAUGGGAAAAAUUUAUAAUUUACUUAAGAGACCACUAUAAGCAGAUGAAAACAUUAGCAGGAUUGCAAUAACACUUGUAAUGUAGAAGAUAUUAUGGACAAAAUGGAGAGACAUAAAAUUUGGAUGAUGAAAUAAUAUGCAGUUGAAAAGGUUUAUAAUAGGCCCCAUGGAGGUGGGAAGGUGGGAAGUCUAGAGAUUCAGAGAAAUCUCUAAAUAUGGAUAUGUAAUUACAUAUGGAUAUGUAAUUGUUAUAACUCUACACUUGU